GUCUCACUUCAGCAGCACAUAUACUAAAAUUGGAACAAUAUAGAGAAGAUUAGCAUGGCCUCUGUGCAAGGAUGAUAUGCAAACUCAUGAAGCAGUCCAUAUUUUU
ensembl:snRNA U6 U6 spliceosomal RNA